rnacentral:rRNA from 1 species
GUCUACAGCCAUACUACCCUGAAUGUGCCCGACCUCAUCUGAUCUCUGAAGCUAAGCAGGAUUGGGCCUGGUUAGUACUUGGAUAGGAGAAUGGGAGUAGGGAGAAAAAAGAGAAUAGUGGAGGUAGUAAAUU